ncrna:unclassified sequences S15-Flavobacteria ribosomal protein leader
UAUAUUUGCGCCUCCAAUAAUUAAAUAUUGGUUACAUAAUAAUUAUUUACAAAAAUAUUGGCAUG